rnacentral:rRNA from 1 species
GAUGAACGCUGGCGGCGUGCCUAAUACAUGCAAGUCGAGCGAACAGACGAGGAGCUUGCUCCUCUGAUGUUAGCGGCGGACGGGUGAGUAACACGUGGAUAACCUACCUAUAAGACUGGGAUAACUUCGGGAAACCGGAGCUAAUACCGGAUAAUAUAUUGAACCGCAUGGUUCAAUAGUGAAAGACGGUUUUGCUGUCACUUAUAGAUGGAUCCGCGCUGCAUUAGCUAGUUGGUAAGGUAACGGCUUACCAAGGCAACGAUGCGUAGCCGACCUGAGAGGGUGAUCGGCCACACUGGAACUGAGACACGGUCCAGACUCCUACGGGAGGCAGCAGUAGGGAAUCUUCCGCAAUGGGCGAAAGCCUGACGGAGCAACGCCGCGUGAGUGAUGAAGGUCUUCGGAUCGUAAAACUCUGUUAUUAGGGAAGAACAAAUGUGUAAGUAACUAUGCACAUCUUGACGGUACCUAAUCAGAAAGCCACGGCUAACUACGUG